rnacentral:snoRNA from 13 species
UGUAUAGUGAUGAAACCCAUGCGUGUCAACUGAUUCUCUAAAACUCCUGCUGUGCUGGUGACCAGGCCGGCGUUUUGCUGGCUUGACUCAACAGUGCGGCAUGGCCUUGGAGGAAUGAUCAGCAUUGACUUUCUGAAUACA